UACGUAGGGUGCGAGCGUUGUCCGGAACUAUUGGGCGUAAAGGGCUCGUAGGCGGUCUGUCGCGUCGGGAGUGAAAACUCAGGGCUUAACCCUGAGCCUGCUUCCGAUACGGGCAGACUAGAGGUAUGCAGGGGAGAACGGAAUUCCUGGUGUAGCGGUGGAAUGCGCAGAUAUCAGGAGGAACACCGAUGGCGAAGGCAGGUCUCUGGGCCACUACUGACGCUGAGAAGCGAAAGCAUGGGGAGCGAACAGG
rnacentral:rRNA from 1 species